UACGCAGGGGGCUAGCGUUGCUCGGAAUUACUGGGCGUAAAGCGCACGUAGGCGGUCUUUUAAGUCGGUGGUGAAAUCCUGGAGCUCAACUCCAGAACUGCCUUCGAUACUGGAAGACUUGAGUCCGGGAGAGGUGAGUGGAACUGCGAGUGUAGAGGUGAAAUUCGUAGAUAUUCGCAAGAACACCAGUGGCGAAGGCGGCUCACUGGACCGGUACUGACGCUGAGGUGCGAAAGCGUGGGGAGCAAACAGG
rnacentral:rRNA from 1 species